rnacentral:lncRNA from 1 species
UUUCCUGUUUGAAUGUCUGCUUAGCCAGUGUGCUAAUCUAUCUCUUGGUCUAUUUCAAUGAAUGAGAAUACAAUAAGAGAUUGUUGGCAGAAUGGAGACAGACUGCACUCCCACCAUCUGGUGUAGCAAAGAUGAAGUCAGGCAUAUAUCAUAGAAGAUAGAGUGGAGAAAUAACAUGGCAUAAAUGUGCAUUGAGGGGCCACCUCUACUUCACUUCAGCUUCUGGAAAAAAUGGCCUUAACAGUAGAUUGGAAGCAGCAGCAAAAUUUUUGGCUAAACUUGAGAAACACCUACAUUGAAGCAUAAAGACAAAAAAAGAACUGAGCCUUAGUGCUUGUGGAGCAUUUUCAAGCAGCCUAGAAUAGAUGUAAUUAGAGGC